CCUACGGGAGGCAGCAGUGAGGAAUAUUGGUCAAUGGACGAGAGUCUGAACCAGCCAAGUAGCGUGAAGGAUGACUGCCCUAUGGGUUGUAAACUUCUUUUAUAUGGGAAUAAAAUGUUCCACGUGUGGGAUUUUGUAUGUACCAUAUGAAUAAGGAUCGGCUAACUCCGUGCCAGCAGCCGCGGUAAUACGGAGGAUCCGAGCGUUAUCCGGAUUUAUUGGGUUUAACGGGAGCGUAGGUGGAUUGUUAAGUCAGUUGUGAAAGUUUGCGGCUCAACCGUAAAAUUGCAGUUGAAACUGGCAGUCUUGAGUACAGUAGAGGUGGGCGGAAUUCGUGGUGUAGCGGUGAAAUGCGUAGAUAUCACGAAGAACUCCGAUUGCGAAGGCAGUUCACUGGACUGCAACUGACACUGAGGCUCGAAAGUGUGGGUAUCAAACAGGAUUAGAUACCCCAGUAGUC
rnacentral:rRNA from 1 species